rnacentral:tRNA from 1 species
GGAGACAUAGCUCAGCUGGGAGAGCGAGCGACUGAAGUUCAGUCAUCAGACCUUGUGUGGAUCGAAUGGUUCGCGCUUGGACAUCGCUAGGUCGGGUGUUCAAUCCACUCUGGCUCCA